GUAGUUUUCAAUUACAGUAUCAUGAAAGUUCCAUUUGAUUCUGCUCAGUUCUGUACUCUCACAACCUCCAAAUGCCAAAGGAAAUUUCUUAAAGUACUAAUUCUUACACAGAAAAUUUUCAGACUCAUAUCAAUUUAUUGGCUCACAGCAGCAAAAUACUAUGUUUCAUGUUUCACAACUGUAGUUUCCAUUACAAAGCUUCAGUCCCUCGUUGACUCAUGAAUGAACAAUUCAAAUGUUAAAAGAAAGUACUUAAAACAUUUGACCAUGUUAAUAUAACUUGUUUCACCUGUUUGUGUUCAUGGUUAAACUAUUGUAUGUAUGUGCUUAUACAGAAUGUACUUUGUGUAGAUGAGACUCCUUCAUCAGUCAUAAACCGUGUGGCAGACAAUAGCAAAGAGAAAAAUAGCAAUGAACCAGAGAAACUAUGUAAUGGUCAAGGCUCUAAUGCUUUGCCUGCUAUGAAAAGCAACAGAGUACAAAGUGUAGGUGACAAGAGAAAAUGUGAGGUGUAGAACAAUCCAGAGGUAGUACCACCAAAAAGGAUAAGAAAUGCAGUCAACUCAAAACAAAAGAAAGAAUUAGUUGACAGAAAUGUAAAGAAAACUAAAAAAGAAUGACAGCCAUCUGUACCUGGCUCAGACAAAGGUGUGAAUAGUGAUUUUUUAGAUGGCAAUAACUGUCUUCUAAUGACAUGAUGUAUGAGAACAAGAAUGGUGUUGUUGAUAAGAAUGAAGUUUCUCAUAGUAUCCAAUCAAGUAAUAAAAUAAGUUAUGGAAAAUUAAAGCCAGAUACUGCAGUACCAGUACUAGGCAAAAUUAGUAAAGAAUCCACCAAUGACGAAAAUAGUAAUUGCACCAUCAAGAACACAGAAAAUAUGAAAACAAGUGAUAUGAGCAAUGAUUUUACAGAUUUUCUCAGAAGACCCCCCACAUACCCUGAAGCAGAGGAAGAAACUGGCCAAAAUAGACAAAACACUAUCACAAAAUAACAAAAAAAAUUGGAUGUAUUUGAUGAAAAUAGCAGGGUGUUACGUUUAAG